rnacentral:rRNA from 1 species
GGCUUAGAGUUUGAUCAUGGCUCAGGACGAACGCUGGCGGCAUGCUUAACACAUGCAAGUCGAACAGACUGAUUCCUUCGGGAUGAAAGUUAGUGGCGAACGGGUGAGUAAUGUAUGAGCAACCUGCCUCUGUCAACGGGAUAACACUUAGAAAUAGGUGCUAAUACGGUAUAAGACCACGGCAUCGCAUGAUGCUGCGGUAAAAGAUUUUAUCGGACAGAGAUGGGCUCAUAUCCCAUUAGCUAGUUGGUGAGAUAACAGCCCACCAAGGCGACGAUGGGUAGCCGAGCUGAGAGGCUGAUCGGCCACAUUGGGACUGAAACACGGCCCAGACUCCUACGGGAGGCAGCAGUGGGGAAUAUUGGGCAAUGGAGGCAACUCUGACCCAGCAAUGCCGCGUGAGUGAUGAAGGUCUUUUGAUUGUAAAGCUCUUUUCUUGGGAACGAAGAUCUGACGGUACCCAAGGAAUAAGCCCCGGCUAACUACGUGCCAGCAGCCGCGGUAAUACGUAGGGGGCAAGCGUUGUCCGGAAUGACUGGGCGUAAAGGGUGUGUAGGCGGUUAGGUAAGUUAGAUGUGUAAUACCCAGGGCUUAACUCGGGUGCUGCAUCUAAAACUGCCUGACUUGAGUGCUGGAGAGGAUAGUG